UUGCUGGGGGGAUUAGUGGCGAACGGGUGAGUAACACGUGAGUAACCUGCCCUUAACUCUGGGAUAAGCCUGGGAAACUGGGUCUAAUACCGGAUAUGACUCCUCAUCGCAUGGUGGGGGGUGGAAAGCUUUUGUGGUUUUGGAUGGACUCGCGGCCUAUCAGCUUGUUGGUGAGGUAAUGGCUCACCAAGGCGACGACGGGUAGCCGGCCUGAGAGGGUGACCGGCCACACUGGGACUGAGACACGGCCCAGACUCCUACGGGAGGCAGCAGUGGGGAAUAUUGCACAAUGGGCGCAAGCCUGAUGCAGCGACGCCGCGUGAGGGAUGACGGCCUUCGGGUUGUAAACCUCUUUCAGUAGGGAAGAAGCGAAAGUGACGGUACCUGCAGAAGAAGCGCCGGCUAACUACGUGCCAGCAGCCGCGGUAAUACGUAGGGCGCAAGCGUUAUCCGGAAUUAUUGGGCGUAAAGAGCUCGUAGGCGGUUUGUCGCGUCUGCCGUGAAAGUCCGGGGCUCAACUCCGGAUCUGCGGUGGGUACGGGCAGACUAGAGUGAUGUAGGGGAGACUGGAAUUCCUGGUGUAGCGGUGAAAUGCGCAGAUAUCAGGAGGAACACCGAUGGCGAAGGCAGGUCUCUGGGCAUUAACUGACGCUGAGGAGCGAAAGCAUGGGGAGCGAACAGGAUUAGAUACCCUGGUAGUCCAUGCCGUAAACGUUGGGCACUAGGUGUGGGGGACAUUCCACGUUUUCCGCGCCGUAGCUAACGCAUUAAGUGCCCCGCCUGGGGAGUACGGCCGCAAG
rnacentral:rRNA from 1 species